UACGUAGGGUGCGAGCGUUUAAUCGGAAUUACGUGGGCGUAAAGGGCGCGUAGGCGGCACUGUUAGUCAGGCGUGAAAUUCCUGGGCUCAACCUGGGACUGCGCUUGAUACGGCAGAGCUUGAGGAUGGAAGAGGGUCGCGGAAUUCCCAGUGUAGAGGUGAAAUUCGUAGAUAUUGGGAAGAACACCGGUGGCGAAGGCGGCGACCUGGUCCAUUACUGACGCUGAGCGCGACAGCGUGGG
rnacentral:rRNA from 1 species